UCCAGAGCGCCAAAGGCGACGUCAUGUCUGGAGCGUUUCCGUUACAAUAUUUUGCUCAAAUUUGAAAUAUAACUUAUGCUGAAGGGCUUACAUCUUUGGUAGUAAGAAUCUACAGGGUGUUCUUUUUCAGGUGUCAUGUUCCAUUUUCUUCCCCUGAACUUUUUUUCUGUGCGCCCCUCGCAGAUUGUAAAAUCAAAAUUUGAUUGUCUGUUUUGUCAUGUUUGCGUAUUUUCGAUUGUUAUUGAGAAAAAAAAUCAAUUUUCAUUUUUCAUUUUUAAAAUGGUCCAGUAAGUUUUUAUUAGUUUUGACAGUUUGCAUUUGAAAUUGUAACUUGUGUUUGCAUAUGUUUAUAACUUAAAGGUUUAAUUUGUAAAGUAUGCGAAGAAAUUAUAACACCCUGUACAUUUGUAAAGGAGUGGACCUAUGUUUAUAUGAACCUUUAGUCAUAAAAUAAGCCAAAGAAUUAGCCCCUUCCAUAUUUAGGAACACCCUGUAUAAUAAAAACCUGAAAUUUAAUGUCAUGCGUAAAAUUCGCUGUAGCCCCCAUAGUCCCCCCCUUAAUCCAGCAUUGCCGACGACUUCUGCGAUGGAUCAGAUCGAAUUCAAGCCUGGAUUAUAUGGACAUGGUUCACGAAAACGAGUUAUUGGUAAUGGCGUCCGAAGAGAAUCCAUGCCAGUAGCCCGCGGUCGUGAACUCCCGGCGCUUCCCGAGUCAGAAUUAAUAAGGCUAAAGAUUCUGGAAGAGCAGCCUUAUAAAGGUAGGGCGCAUGUUUGUAUUUUCUUAGUGUAUUUAGCAGUGGGGGAAAAGUGAAGUGUAUAGUGCAACCAAAAGUGAUCUUUAGUGAAUUAUGGAAAUCUCCGUUUGACAACAGAAAAUAACUGUAAUUAUUCUUCGCAAAGUUGCUCUCGUGGGAUCAGUCAGUUUGCUUUGUAUCAAUGUGUAUGACUAUGGAUUCAUAGCCAUACCGUUUUACAAAGCGAAGUGAUUGUUUUCUGCGGAUUUAACUUUGAAGAAGGAUUGCACUCUUUAACGGAAGGGGAAGUAAAUGGGCUUUAAUAAGAAUUGUCCCACUAAUCUAUCAUUGAUUGUUCUCAGACAAGGCACGUGAACUUCAACCACGCUGGUGAGAAUUUCUCCGCCAACUUGAUCCUGCUCAAACAAUCAGGAUCCCACCCCUGGAACAGGUAACUGGUCUCUCGUGCGGAAAACGUUUUGUUAUUCCUAUCCUUGAGAUUGUCACUUCACGUCGACCAUCCAACAAAUCAACGGAAUUGGACAAUUUUCACUUAGGCAGGGGACCAAGACUAAGACUACGGCUUCAAAUAAAAGUUAACGGCACUUUGUACGAGCCCAGACGCAUAUGUAUUGGACCACAUGAAACGUUGCUUUACCUUUUUGUUUAUUUUAUAAUUAUUGCCGUUGAUAAAAGUGUUGAAUAUCUGUUUUGGUCCAAUACAUAUGUGGCUGGGCCCUUAUAUACUUUUCCCAGUAUUGUUAAAAAAAAUGUAAAAUGUUGUAC